rnacentral:rRNA from 1 species
UAAUACGUAGGGGGCAAGCGUUGUCCGGAAUCAUUGGGCGUAAAGAGCGUGUAGGCGGCCAGAUAAGUCCGCUGUGAAAACUCGAGGCUCAACUUCGAGCUGUCGGUGGAAACUAUUUGGCUAGAGUCCGGAAGAGGAGAGUGGAAUUCCUGGUGUAGCGGUGAAAUGCGCAGAUAUCAGGAAGAACACCCGUGGCGAAGGCG